UCUCUCCGAGUGGUGGGGAUGCUUAUUGGGCCUAAAGCAUUCGUAGCCUGCUUGGCAAGUCCUCCGUUAAAUCCAACGAUUCAAUCGUUGGGCUGCGGGGGAUACUGUCCGGCUAGGGGGCGGGAGAGGCCGACGGUAUCCUCGGGGUAGGGGUGAAAUCCUAUAAUCCCGGGAGGACCACCAGUGGCGAAGGCUGUCGGCUAGAACGCGCUCGACGGUGAGGGAUGAAAGCUGGGGGAGCGAACCGGAUUAGAUACCCGGGUAGUCCCAGCUGUAAACGAUGCAGGCUAGGUGUUGGCGCGGCUACGUGCCGCUCCAGUGCCGCAGGGAAGCCGUUAAGCCUGCCGCCUGGGAAGUACGGCCGCAAGGCUGAAACUUAAAGGAAUUGGCGGGGGAGCACCACAAGGUGUGAAGCUUGCGGUUUAAUUGGAGUCAACGCCGGAAAUCUCACCGGGGGCGACAGCAGAAUGAAGGUCAGAUUGAAGGUCUUACCAGACAAGCUGAGAGGAGGUGCAUGGCCGUCGCCAGUUCGUGCCGUGAGGUGUCCUGUUAAGUCAGGCAACGAUCGAGACCCGCGUCCCCUGUUGCCACCGGCCUUGAGCCGAGCACACUGGGGAGACUGCCGCCGAUAAGGCAGAGGAAGGAGCGGGCCACGGCAGGCCAGUAUGCCCCGAAUCCCCCGGGCUACACGCGAGCUGCAAUGGCAGGUACAGAGGGUACCGACUCUGAAAGGAGAAGGAAAUCCCGAAAGCCUGCCGUAGUUGGGAUCGAGGGUUGAAACUCACCCUCGUGAACAUGGAAUACCUAGUAACCGCGUGUCACUACCGCGCGGUGAAUACGUCCCUGCUCCUUGCAGGAAAUCGCCGA
rnacentral:rRNA from 1 species